rnacentral:tRNA from 1 species
CCCUUGGUAGCUCAGCUGGUAAAGAAUCUGCCUGCAAUGCAGGAGACCCUGAUUCAAUUCCUGGAUCAGGGA